GAUGAACGCUGGCGGCGUGCCUAAUACAUGCAAGUCGAGCGAACGGACGAGAAGCUUGCUUCUCUGAUGUUAGCGGCGGACGGGUGAGUAACACGUGGAUAACCUACCUAUAAGACUGGGAUAACUUCGGGAAACCGUAGCUAAUACCGGAUAAUAUUUUGAACCGCAUGGUUCAAAAGUGAAAGACGGUCUUGCUGUCACUUAUAGAUGGAUCCGCGCUGCAUUAGCUAGUUGGUAAGGUAACGGCUUACCAAGGCAACGAUGCAUAGCCGACCUGAGAGGGUGAUCGGCCACCCUGGAACGGAGACACGGUCCAGACUCCUACGGGAGGCAGCAGUAGGGAAUCUUCCGCAAUGGGCGAAAGCCUGACGGAGCAACGCCGCGUGAGUGAUGAAGGUCUUCGGAUCGUAAAACUCUGUUAUUAGGGAAGAACAUAUGUGUAAGUAACUGUGCACAUCUUGACGGUAACUAAUCAGAAAGCAACGGCUAACUACGUG
rnacentral:rRNA from 1 species